UUUUGGUCAGUGACUGCAUAUAUGAUAGUGGUCCCAUAAAAUUAUGAUCCUAUAUUUUUACUGUACUUUUCUGUUCAGAUACACGAAUACUUACCACUGUGUUACAACUGUGUACAGUACUCAGCACAGUGAUGUGUUGCACAGGUGCGUAGCUUAGGAGCAACAGGCUGUACCAUAUAGCCUAGGUGUGUAAUAGGCUAUACCAUCUAGGUUUGUGUCAGUGUACUCUAUGAUGUUCACGUCACGAUGAAAUCACCCAAGACACAUUUCUCAGAAUGUAUCCCCAUCAUUAAGCAACACAUGACUGUAUAUAUACAUUUACUAAUGUUUGUUAUUUUUAAUACAGAAAAGUUUCUUCUUUGCUUUUUAGAAAUUUUAUCAGUUACAAAAGGAAAUAACAUUUAGAAAACAGUUUCAACUUUCAUAGGCAAAACAUACACAUGAACCACACAUAGGGCUGAGUGGAUGUUUCCUUAUUGCUAAGUCCAUAGCCUCUAGUAUGAUGCCCAAGUGUCAUAACUACACUCCCACAUCAGCAAACUCCUCCCUCUUAACACACAGGGCUCUCCUUUAGCCUGCAGAAUGUGGGUAUAUCUUUACUAUUUUCUCCUGCUCAUAAAAAUACAUGCUUUUCACUAAACGAGUUAAAUAACCACCCAUAAUUCACCCACAAGUUUGGUGUACUUUCUUCCAGUAUUUUAAAUAUGCAAAAAUAUCGUUUUAUUUGUAUUUACUACCUGUGUAACUAUAUGCUUAGCCUUUUUCCCCCCAUUUUGAGUUUAUUUUUAAUUCAGGGAUUAGGUAGCCAGAGUCUGGCCUAGUGACUUCUGACCUUUCACUUGUGAUCUCUUAUCCAUCUUCGGCCAGAGGCCUCUUUUUGUAGCCCAGCCUCAUCUCUUGUGGACCUUGAACAAAUUUCUCCAGCUACUGUCAAAUGCCUGAGAUUUGUUAACCACACCAUUUAUUUUUGCUAACACUAGUUAACAAAUAAGCUUUUCUAGAAGAGCUAGGUGGAAUAUGUCAUCAGAGACUUGGAAUGAAAACAAAAUACCCUUGGUAACUUACUUGCACCUGCGUCUUCCUCAGACUGCAAAGUGGUCACCAGCAAUUCAGAGAGGCUCCAGUAACAAGCAGCUUCACUUUUUAUCACGUAACCUAACCAUCUUGAGGUUAUGUGUCAAAGGAAGAAGACAUUUCCUUUUCUAAAAAGUCAACUGCUUUCUUCUUUACUAAAACAAUUUAGGGGCUGGGCGCAGUGGCUCACAUCUGUAAUCCCAACACUUUGGGAGGCUGAGGCAGGUGGAUCACGAGGUCGAGAGUUCAAG
rnacentral:lncRNA from 10 species